GAUGAACGCUGGCGGCGUGCCUAAUACAUGCAAGUCGAGCGAACAGAUGAGGAGCUUGCUCCUCUGACGUUAGCGGCGGACGGGUGAGUAACACGUGGAUAACCUACCUAUAAGACUGGGAUAACUUCGGGAAACCGGAGCUAAUACCGGAUAAUAUAUUGAACCGCAUGGUUCAAUAGUGAAAGACGGUUUUGCUGUCACUUAUAGAUGGAUCCGCGCCGCAUUAGCUAGUUGGUAAGGUAACGGCUUACCAAGGCAACGAUGCGUAGCCGACCUGAGAGGGUGAUCGGCCACACUGGAACUGAGACACGGUCCAGACUCCUACGGGAGGCAGCAGUAGGGAAUCUUCCGCAAUGGGCGAAAGCCUGACGGAGCAACGCCGCGUGAGUGAUGAAGGUCUUCGGAUCGUAAAGCUCUGUUAUUAGGGAAGAACAAAUGUGUAAGUAACUAUGCACGUCUUGACGGUACCUAAUGAGAAAGCCACGGCUAACUACGUG
rnacentral:rRNA from 1 species